AGCGAACGCUGGCGGCAGGCCUAACACAUGCAAGUCGAACGAACCUUUCGGGGUUAGUGGCGGACGGGUGAGUAACACGUGGGAACGUGCCUUUAGGUUUGGAAUAACUCAGGGAAACUUGUGCUAAUACCGAAUGUGACCUUCCGGGGAAAGAGUUAUCGCCUUUAGAGCGGCCCGGGUCGGCUUAGCUAGUUGGUUGAGGUAAUGGCUCACCAAGGCUACGAUCAGUAGCUGGUCUGAGAGGAUGAUCAGCCACCUUGGGACUGAGACACGGCCCAAACUCCUACGGGAGGCAGCAGUGGGGAAUCUUGCGAAAUGGGCGAAAGGCUGACGCAGCCAUGCCGCGUGAAUAAUGAAGGUCUUAGGAUUGUAAAAUUCUUUCACCGGGGACGAUAAUGACGGUACCCGGAGAAGAAGCCCCGGCUAACUUCGUG
rnacentral:rRNA from 1 species